UUGCAGGAUAUAUAAUGUAGCCCGCGCUUCACGGCGAAUAAAUAAUAUUUCAAUAAGUAAAAAUAUAUAAUUAUUAAAAUUUUAAAAAUAUUUAAAAAAUAUAUAAAAUAAUCUUAUGUAUACUAUAAAAUUUUUUCUCAACUGCCAAUAUUUAUAGAGUUGAAUUAUUUUACCAAUUUGAGUUAAAAUUUCAAUCAAAUUUUAUAGUUUUGAUAGUUAUUUUAUAAGUAAAUUUUUUUAAUUAAAAAAAUUAAAGUUAGAAACUUAUUUUUGUAAUAACUGAGAUUUUUCAUUUAUUGAUUAAAUCCUUUUUGUUUGACGAUGUUCUUGUGUGUAAUAUAAUUAUAAGUGUACUCGUCAAAUUUCAGGAGAAAACGAGUUAAAACGGAGAAGUUACGCGACCCGGAAGUUCGACUUAAGUGAAUAGUAACU
rnacentral:lncRNA from 1 species